GACGGAGGAUGCAAGCGUUAUCCGGAAUGAUUGGGCGUAAAGCGUCCGCAGGUGGCAGUUCAAGUCUGCUGUCAAAGACCGGGGCUUAACUUCGGAAAGGCAGUGGAAACUGAACAGCUAGAGUAUGGUAGGGGCAGAGGGAAUUCCUGGUGUAGCGGUGAAAUGCGUAGAGAUCAGGAGGAACACCAGCGGCGAAGGCGGCGCUCUGGGCUGGAACUGACGCUGAGGAGCGAAAGCGUGGGGAGCGAACAGG
rnacentral:rRNA from 1 species